AGAGUUUGAUCCUGGCUCAGGAUGAACGCUGGCGGCGUGCCUAACACAUGCAAGUCGAGCGAUUCUCUUCGGAGAAGAGCGGCGGACGGGUGAGUAACGCGUGGGUAACCUGCCCUGUACACACGGAUAACAUACCGAAAGGUAUGCUAAUACGGGAUAAUAUAUAAGAGUCGCAUGACUUUUAUAUCAAAGAUUUUUCGGUACAGGAUGGACCCGCGUCUGAUUAGCUUGUUGGCGGGGUAACGGCCCACCAAGGCGACGAUCAGUAGCCGACCUGAGAGGGUGAUCGGCCACAUUGGAACUGAGACACGGUCCAAACUCCUACGGGAGGCAGCAGUGGGGAAUAUUGCACAAUGGGCGCAAGCCUGAUGCAGCAACGCCGCGUGAGCGAUGAAGGCCUUCGGGUCGUAAAGCUCUGUCCUCAAGGAAGAUAAUGACGGUACUUGAGGAGGAAGCCCCGGCUAACUACGUGCCAGCAGCCGCGGUAAUACGUAGGGGGCUAGCGUUAUCCGGAUUUACUGGGCGUAAAGGGUGCGUAGGCGGUCUUUCAAGUCAGGAGUUAAAGGCUACGGCUCAACCGUAGUAAGCUCCUGAUACUGUCUGACUUGAGUGCAGGAGAGGAAAGCGGAAUUCCCAGUGUAGCGGUGAAAUGCGUAGAUAUUGGGAAAAACACCAGUAGCGAAGGCGGCUUUCUGGACUGUAACUGACGCUGAGGCACGAAAGCGUGGGGAGCAAACAAGAUUAGAUACCCUGGUAGUCCACGCUGUAAACGACCAGUAAUGGGUGUCGGAGGUUACCCCCUUCGAUGCCGCAGCUAACGCAUUAAGUACUCCGCCGGGGGAGUACGCACGCAAGUGUGAAACUCAAAGGAAUUGACGGGGACCCGCACAAGUAGCGGAGCAUGUGGUUUAAUUCGAAGCUACGCGAAGAACCUUACGUAGGCUUGACAUCCUUCUGCCCGAGGACUAAUCUCCUCUUUCCCUCCGGGGACAGAAGUGACAGGUGGUGCAUGGUUGUCGUCAGCUCGUGUCGUGAGAUGUUGGGUUAAGUCCCGCAACGAGCGCAACCCUUGUCUUUAGUUGCCAUCAUUAAGUUGGGCACUCUAGAGAGACUGCCAGGGAUAACCUGGAGGAAGGUGGGGAUGACGUCAAAUCAUCAGGC
rnacentral:rRNA from 1 species